rnacentral:rRNA from 1 species
GGGUCUACUCAUUGGUCAGGCUUAAUUGUCUGUACUGGUGAGAUGGAUCCCUAUCAUCUGAGGAGCUUUCAUGCCAUUUAUUUGGUGUGGUUGGAAAUCAGGACUGUUACUUUGAAAAAAUUAGAGUGUUUAAAGCAGACUAUCGUCUGAAUACAUUAGCAUGGAAUAAUGAAAUAGGACGGACUGAUUCUAUUUCGUUGGUUUCUAGGAUCACCGUA